rnacentral:lncRNA from 1 species
AAACUAGUUAGCACAUCAAGUAAGCUACAAAAAGUAAUAUUGUGCUAACAUAAGAAACACAUUCACUUUAACACUUUAACUGCUGUUGUGAUACUGCAAAAGAGCCUAAAACUACAAAAUAUCAAAGUUACGAUCACAGUAGCAUGCUCAUGUCAUAAUAUAUUACCAACAAAAUAAGCACGUCCAAAAAAGUCGUUCUAGUACUAAAAACUAGUCUAAAACAACCAAAGUCAAGAGUCACUAUGCAAUGAUUGGUCGUCC